ensembl:lncRNA
GUUGAUGUUCUUGUUACCUUCCUGGACCUUGAAAAUGGUAGGACCCUUGUUGUCUAUGGAGGGUCAGAGAGCUCUCAGAUCUAAUCAAAAAUAUCUUGAUUUGUGUUCCGAAGAUUAAUGAAGGUCUUACAGUUUUGGAACGACAUGAGGGUUGAAAAUGCCACUCCUUCAGCUGUUCACAUAACUGACACAGAAGAAGCCACUGUUGCAGCAGGAGAUAUUGCAGAAGAGCUGACAAUUACACCAAUGCCAUUCAUUCAAAUAAUACCAAUUUUUGUAAUUUCUUCAUUCACUAUUCAUGCCAGAUUUUCUGCUUUUAAAAUUAAACAGGGUCUUUGAAAUAGAAAAGUCAAACUCAAAAAUCUAGUUUUUAUAUGCUUCUCUUCUUAUUUUUUGCAGAAUAUUAAAGAGAUUCUCAUGGCCUCCCAUGAGGGGAGAUGGAUUUCAGCAGCUUUAGAGAAGGAAAAAAGCAUCACAAUUAAACAGAGACGUGCACUGGUGCGAAUCCUGGUGGCCUUUUUAAUUGAAAAGUUUGGCGAAAU